AUCCUAUAGCGCAGUGGUCAAGCGCCUAGAUAACCGCUUACGGUUGUAGGUUCAAAUCCUACAUAGGACA